GACGAACGCUGGCGGCGUGCUUAACACAUGCAAGUCGAACGGAAAGGCCCUGCUUUUGUGGGGUGCUCGAGUGGCGAACGGGUGAGUAACACGUGAGUAACCUGCCCUUGACUUUGGGAUAACUUCAGGAAACUGGGGCUAAUACCGGAUAGGAGCUCCUGCUGCAUGGUGGGGGUUGGAAAGUUUCGGCGGUUGGGGAUGGACUCGCGGCUUAUCAGCUUGUUGGUGGGGUAGUGGCUUACCAAGGCUUUGACGGAUAGCCGGCCUGAGGGGGUGACCGGCCACAUUGGGACUGAGAUACGGCCCAGACUCCUACGGGAGGCAGCAGUGGGGAAUAUUGCACAAUGGGCGGAAGCCUGAUGCAGCAACGCCGCGUGCGGGAUGACGGCCUUCGGGUUGUAAACCGCUUUCGCCUGUGACGAAGCGUGAGUGACGGUAAUGGGUAAAGAAGCACCGGCUAACUACGUG
rnacentral:rRNA from 1 species